rnacentral:rRNA from 1 species
UUCCAGACUCCUACGGGAGGCAGCAGUGGGGGAUAUUGCACAAUGGGGGGAACCCUGAUGCAGCGACGCCGCGUGGGUGAAGAAGCGCCUCGGCGCGUAAAGCCCUGUCAGCAGGGAAGAAAAUGACGGUACCUGAAGAAGAAGCCCCGGCUAACUACGUGCCAGCAGCCGCGGUAAUACGUAGGGGGCAAGCGUUAUCCGGAUUUACUGGGUGUAAAGGGAGCGUAGACGGUUGUGCAAGUCUGAAGUGAAAGCCCGCGGCUCAACUGCGGAACGGCUUUGGAAACUGUGUAACUGGAGUGCUGGAGAGGUAAGCGGAAUUCCUGGUGUAGCGGUGAAAUGCGUAGAGAUCAGGAGGAACACCGGCGGCGAAGGCGGCUUACUGGACAGUAACUGACGUUGAGGCUCGAAAGCGUGGGGAGCAAACAGGAUUAGAUACCCCAGUA